AACGAACGCUGGCGGCGUGGAUAAGACAUGCAAGUCGAACGGGAAAUAUUUUAGCUUGCUUUAAUAUUUCCAGUGGCGGACGGGUGAGUAACACGUGAGUUACCUGCCCCAAAGUGGGGGAUAGCCUCUCGAAAGAGAGAUUAAUACCGCAUGUGAUCGAAAGAUUAAAGGCCCUUCGGGGUCGCUUUGGGAUGGGCUCGCGGCCUAUCAGCUAGUUGGUGAGGUAAAGGCUCACCAAGGCGAUGACGGGUAGCUGGUCUGAGAGGACGAUCAGUCACACUGGAACUGAGACACGGUCCAGACACCUACGGGUGGCAGCAGUCGAGAAUCAUUCACAAUGGGCGAAAGCCUGAUGGUGCGACGCCGCGUGGAGGACGAAGGCCCUAGGGUCGUAAACUCCUGUCAUCAGGGAGUAAGGCGUUUACCAGGUAAUGGGUAGGCGAUUGAUAGUACCUGAAGAGGAAGGGACGGCUAACUUCG
rnacentral:rRNA from 1 species